AUGGCCAAGUCGAAGAACCACACGGCGCACAACCAGUCGUACAAGGCGCACAGGAACGGCAUUAAGAAGCCCAAGCGCCAGCGCCAGGCCUCCACCAAGGGGAUGGACCCGAAGUUCCUGAGGAACCUGAGGUACUCGAGGAAGCACAACGUCAAGGCUGGUGAGGGAGAGGUUGAGAAGUAA
rnacentral:rRNA from 1 species